AGCUUUGUGUAGUGGCAAUAUCAUAGCCAAUGAGGUUUAUCUGAGGUGCAGUUAUUGCUAAUUAGAAACAUUUCCCAAUUGUUGACUCGGUACUUGUCCACCUGGAUAGAUACUAUUCUUCUAGACUCCUUUUGAGACUGUGCUGGCACAUAGCUAAGUGACUACCCACAGGAUGGAG
rnacentral:snRNA from 10 species